rnacentral:lncRNA from 1 species
UGACCAUCAGUGACCAGAGUGACCAUCAGUGACCAUCAGUGACCAUCACUGACCAUCACUGACCACCACUGACCAUCACUGACCAUCACUGACCAGAGUGACCAUCACUGACCAUCACUGACCAUCACUGACCAUCACUGACCAUCAGUGACCAUCACUGACCAUCACUGACCAUCACUGACCAUCAGUGACCAUCACUGACCAUCACUGACCAUCACUGACCAUCAGUGACCAUCAGUGACCAGAGUGACCAUUACUGACCAUCAGUGACCAUCAGUGACCAUCACUGACCAUCACUGACCAUCACUGACCACCACUGACCAUCACUGACCAUCACUGACCAUCAGUGACCAUCAGUGACCAGAGUGACCACUGACCAUCACUGGCCAUUACUCUGGGCUGUACUGGGAGCACUGGGAUCCCUCAGAUCCCAGACUGGAGCGUCCCAGGUGUGUCCAGGUGUGUCCCCAGGUGUGUCCAGGUGUGUCCCAGGUGUGUCCCCAUGUCCCCCCAGGUGUCCCCAGCUGUCCCCAGGUGUUCCCAGGUGUGUCCAGGUGUGUCCCAGGUGUGUCCCCAUGUCCCCCCAGGUGUCCCCAGGUGUCUCAGGUGUAUCUCAGGUGUCCCCAGGUGUGUCCCAGGUGUCCCCAGGUGUAUCCAGGUGUCCCCAGGUGUGUCCCCAGGUGUAUCUCAGGUGUAUCCAGGUGU